rnacentral:rRNA from 1 species
UACCAGCACCCCGAGUGGUCGGGACGAUUAUUGGGCCUAAAGCAUCCGUAGCCGGUUCUACAAGUCUUCCGUUAAAUCCACCUGCUUAACAGUUGGGCUGCAGAGGAUACUAUAGAGCUAGGAGGCGGGAGAGGCAAGCGGUACUUAGUGGGUAGGGGUAAAAUCCGUUGAUCCACUGAAGACCACCAGUGGCGAAGGCGGCUUGCCAGAACGCGCUCGACGGUGAGGGAUGAAAGCUGGGGGAGCAAACCGGAUUAGAUACCCGGGUAGUCCCAGCUGUAAACGAUGCAGACUCGGUGAUGAAUAGGCUUCGUGCCUAUUCAGUGCCGCAGGGAAGCCGUUAAGUCUGCCGCCUGGGGAGUACGGUCGCAAGACUGUAACUCAAAUGAAUUGGCG